GCUAAGGCAGGGGCAGCAGCAGGGGUAAAUCGGGGGGUGGAAGGGUUGCCCGGAAGCACUGGGCGGAAAGGGGGCGGAGGCGGCUUGAGUAGUCACUUGUGAAAGCCCGUGGCUCAACGACGGGGCCGCAGGUGUGGCUGUCUGGCUGGAGCUUGGUAGGGGCGAGUGGAAUUCCCGGUGUAGCGGUGGAAUGCGUAGAGAUCGGGAAGAACACCGGUGGCGAAGGCGGCUCGCUGGGCCAAUGCUGACGCUGAUGCGCGAAAGCGUGGGGAGCAAACAGGAUUAGAUACCCCUGUAGUC
rnacentral:rRNA from 1 species